GGAGUUGUGGCUCAGUGGCAGAGCGCUUGCCUCAUACGUGUGAAGUGCUGGGUUCGAUCCUCAGCACCACUU
rnacentral:tRNA from 1 species